UAACCUAGUGGUUAAGGCUACGGAUCGCCAAUCCGGAGACGGCGGGUUCGAUUCCCGU
rfam:Aedes albopictus isolate Foshan contig57208, whole genome shotgun sequence.